GUCUUGCAUGGAUACAUUUGAGCCUGCAUGUUGCGAUCUGUAUCCAAUGAUUGUAACUUCUGUAUUGUAUCCUUCAAUGAGAAAGGACAGCUCUGGUGUGAGGAGUCCCUCUCCCUUCUCCUAAACUCUUCUACAAAACAGGGGUUUCCAACUUCCGGGAUAAGGACCUGUACCAACUCAUGGCCUGUUAGGAAAUGGGCCACACAGCAGAAGCUCUCCAGGAACACAUCUUUGAAGACAAAAUGCCUCCAAGAUCCCCAGUACUGUAGCUCUUCUCCUGAAGCAACUAUUUCCAGCCUUGAAAGUUAUCAGCUCAGGAGAGGAAGCACUGCAAGCAGCUCCUGGGCCCUGGGGUAUGGUUGCAGAUUCAUCACCUAGCUACUUGUUUGUGGUGUUAUCAUCUUUUUUUCCCUGACAUAUUUUGGAACUUGACUACAUCUGAUAUAUUUCUCAACAGUAAGUACAGCUACAUAAAGCAUUUAGGAAAAAAAUGUUUCUUACUAAGAGCAUGAGAAUUUAGACGUUAUUUAUUUAAAAUGUAUUUUUUUUUUUUUACCUCUUUGUUGCCAUCUUUUCUUUUGGACUUUGUUAUUCAGAGUUAAAUGUUUUCUAGGUCUGUCUUUCUUUCUCCCUGAGAAAAUAGGAAAAUAUAAAUAUGGAUGGUGUAAAAAACUCACAUUAUAUAUAAUAGUGCUUUCAAAAAUUUUAUUUAGCUAUAACUUUUCCAGAGCCUAACACACAAAGAAAAAUAUGUAACACAUAGCCUUGCAAUUACCAAGCCUUUGAUGGUUAACCUGGGUUCAUCCUAGAUUUUCUUUCCUUUCCCGUGACAUUAAUCCAAAUUCAUUUGCCUCCCCCCAACAUUAAUUUUAAAAAGAAUUUACGACAGUUUCAUUUAUAUCCCAAAGAAUACUGUAAGAAUAAUAAUAAUGAGGGCUAAGACUUAAGUGCUUAUUAUGUGCUAGACACUAACACAAGAUAUUUACAUCUACUAAUUCAUUUAUGAGAUAGAGACUUUUACUACCCCUAUGACCAAUGAAGAAACUUCAGCAUACAGAUAUUGCAAAAUGAAGUGAAGCAUUGCAGAUUUCCUCUGGUUGUAGGCAGAAAUCAAUGGCAGCAAUGCAAGAAUUUGGAUUGUCCUGCUCAUUAUGAUGGUGACACACUAGCCACCAUCUUAGCCCUCAAUGAAGGCUUUGAGGCUGAAAAUACAGUGAAAAUGACCAAAGACCUUAUUCACAUAGGUUUGGCCAAAAAAUUAGGAUCUAAGAAACUAACCAAGAGAUUAUUGUCCAAGGGGAAUUUGUAUAGAGAUUCAAGUCCCAGAAAGCCUUAGGGUUAGGACUAACAAAGGGUUGAUUAAAACCCUAUUUCAGGAAUAUGCUGUUAGAUUCAGCAGGUGAUGGGGGUAGGUAGAAAGACAGUGAGGUAUGUGCAGGAGCAUCUCAUGAGUGCCAUGUUUAAAGGUGCUGAUCCUUUCCUUUCCUUUCCUUUCCUUUCCUUUCCUUUCCUUUCCUUUCCUUUCCUUUCCUUUCCUUUCCUUUCCUCUCCUCUCCUCUCCUCUCCUCUCCUCUCCUCUCCUCUCCUCUCCUCUCCUCUCCUCCCCUCCCCUCCCCUCCCCUCCUUCCCUUCAUCCUUUCCUCCUUCCCUUCAUCCUUCCCUCCUUCCCUCUUUCCCUCCUCACACCAUCUCCCUGCAUUUUUCUUUCCUUUCUUUCUUUAUAUGGCCUGGCCACAAUUUGAACUUGUCCAACCAUAAAUAUCUUAGACAAACAAAGACUCUUUUUCUGUUCAUCUAUGUCUUUGGUCCUGUUGUAGUCACCUUUCAUCAAAGUCCACUGAGGACAAACAAAUUAGAGGUAUACAAGUAGUUUAGUUCCGUUUACUCGAGCUCUACUUACUAGAAGAUUUGGGGCUUAAGAUCUGCUAAUACUAUAGAGCUCUUGGGACUUCCUUUGUAAUUAUUCUUUGCAAAUUGUCUUGCUCAAAUACCCCACAGGAAGUAGUGUGGCUAUUCUUGGAUUUCCUACCCAAAUACUAAAGGUUAACACCAUGUUAUAGAAGUUGAGUAAAGUGCUCCUCCGUCCUUAAGGCAACUGAGAAGACUUCAGUUUCAAUGUAACUGAUCUUCACCUUCAGGAGUUUGAGGAAGGCAGAGACAUUUAUAGACUCAAUCCUAGAAUGUUGAGAGGGUAUGAAGAGUCAUAAUUCCUAUAGGUCUCCCUAGGGAAAGGAGGAACUCACUUAGUUCUUCUUGAGAGAUAUUCUGUCUGGGAGAAUCACUUGGAUGGAUGAGUUGACCCCAGCAGGAGUGUAGUGUGGACCUCCCAGAGCUGGGAGACUGAGGGAAUUGGUAAGCAUCCAGUUGAAGUUCCUGAAUUAGGGGAACUUUGGUUGAGAGGUUCUCUCUAAGUUGAGUGUCUCUGAAGAACUCACAAAUGAAUAUGGCUCAUGCAUCCACCAUAUCUAGGAGACACCAAAAUCUAUAAGGUUGGUGCAAAAGUAAUUGCAGUUUUUGCUAUUCCCUUUUUUUUUAAAAGGCAAAACCCACAAUUACUUUUGCACCAACCUAUAUAGUAUGAGGACCAUUCCUGCUCCUGUCCACUUCCUUCUCCUCCUCCUCCUAGACCCAAAUUAGCUGAAAGCAAUAGACACUGAGUGGAGUUGGAGAGGAAGUGUGGAUGAAAGUAAAUGCUGACUUCACCCAGCUUCCCUACCACAUAAUUUCCAGUUUUAAUAUUAUAUCAGCUCACGCUUUUUAAUAUUAAAUGAGAUAUUACCGCUAAAAGGGACUAGCAUAGCUCUAGGGCUUACCUAAGACUUCAUCCAUUGGCAAGAAAAGAACUAUUUGAGAGAACAGGUUUGAAAAGGAAGUAGAAGGAAUAAAUGUGAUUUCUGCUUAGACUUAACAAAUCCAAGUAUUUUAAUAAAAUAGUUAAGGUAGAGAGGCUUCUAUAGAAACCAGUAGAAACAUGACGGAAAAAACAUCUUAGACCUGGGUAAGUACAAACUGGAAUAUAACCAAGAUGACAGAUAGGUAUAGAAAUAAAAAUGAUAGAGAUGCUAGAAAUAUUAUAUGUAUAUACUUAUUUAUAGUAGAGUUAUAUUUAAAGUUACUUAUACUUGAAAAUAUAUCAUUUACAUAAACAUAUAUAUCUAUGUAUAUGAGUGACAGACAAAUAAUCAGAAGUAAUGGGAAAAAAUAUAUCCAAAUAUGCUUUAGCUCUAGAGGAAAAAGUGCUACUAUCUCUAUAGUGCCAUAUCAACUUGCCAGAAGUAUUUUACAAGAUGCAAAAAUAAAUAAAGAAAUAAAGUAUGCAAGAGAAGCAUAAGUAGAAUGGGAGAUGGAAGGAAAUAAAAGAGAGACAAAGAAGAGGAAGAAAAGGAGGAAUGCAAUAAGCAUAAAAUUCACAAGAUCUGAUGAAGAGAAUGGACUGUCACGUCUUUUUUAUCUUCACAGUGUGGCAUAUGCUCUGAUUGAGUUUGGUUCACUGCCUGUAAUCCCAGCAUUUUGGGAGGCCGAGGCAGGUGGAUCACCUGAGAUCAGGAGUUCAAGACCAGCCUGGCCAACAUGGCGAAACCCUGUCUUUACUAAAAAUACAAAAAUUAGCUUGGCAUGAUGGUAUGCGCCUGUAAUCCCAGCUACUCGGGAGGCUGAGGCAGAAUUGCUUGAACCUGGGAGGCAGAGGUUGCAGUGAGCUGAGAUCGUAGCACUGUACUCCAGCCUGGGUGACAGAGCCAGACUCCAUCUCAAAAAAGAAAAAAAUAAAUAAAAUAACCCCGUGUUUCUCAGGCUUAGAUCUGAUGUGGCACCAGUACUCUGGCUUCCAUGUAAUUGAUUCAAGUUCUCUCUGUCUGUUUCUCCAUGUUCUGUCCUGGACUGUAUUAGUUACAACACACCUUUCUAACACUUCCUCCUGUUCCCUCAUUUCCUAAUCAAGGCUGGCAUGUCUCUGCCCACAUAUCUCUGUAAUGCAUCUCAGCUUCCAGCUCCUGUCCUUGCCAAAGAGUCUCAGGUGACAAAAAGGCUGGAUCUGAAUAAAUGGAGAGUCUGAGUUUUCCUCCACAUUUAAGGGAAUCAGUGACUUUGGAGGCAAACAUAAAGGGCAAGUAGGCAUAUUGCUAUUUGUCACCCAUAAUCAUUCCUUCUUCCAUAAGAAUAGACUUACAGCUGAACCAAGGACUGCCCGGCCAGCGUUAUAUUUCUCAGCCUCGCUUUGCAGCUAGCUCUGGCUGUGUGACCAAGUUUUGGCCAAUGGGAUGUGGGCAGAAGACUUUUGAGUCUUUCUAUUAAAAUAAAUAAAUGGCUGGUUCUUUUGUCAAUUUUUUUUUCAUUCCCACUGGUUGGGAGACAAUGUCAACCAGCUCAGCCCUUGUGGACCCACAGUUGGAAACCUCAUGUUAAGGAAGGCAGACUGCCUACCACUUCUGGGCUCUUAGAUUAUUUGGUUUAAGCCACUGUAUUUUGGGAUCUGUUUGUUACAAUGACUUAGCUGGUACUCUAAAGAAUCCAUGAGGUCUGAAGCUACCGUGGCCCAUAGGAGAUUCUGAGGCUGCAGCAAAGAUGGGGUCUGGCAGGAAGAACAGGACCACAGCGAGUUCAAAGGAGUAAAUCCCCACAUUUCUUCUUACCUCUUUGGAGACCAUUUACUUUAGAUCUAUGCCUUCUCUUUUUUCCUGCAAACAGAAAAGAAAGAAAAUAAUCCUUUAGAACUAUAAACAAAGAUUUACACACUUUAUAUGUCAAUAGUUUACAAGCAUUGAAUUUUGUUUUCCUUCUACUUUUGCGGGGCUAAGUCCUCGGCCACCAACAUCCCAUCUUGGUUGUUGUCACGCAGAAACCAAUAACCACAAAGCAACCUGUUUUUACACAGUGCCAAUCAUUUACACUAUGCUUGUACAUAUCCAUAUGUGGUCUUAUCAUUCACAAUAAAGAAAGUUUUUAAAGUAGCUGAAAUCAAGCAGAAGGUGACAGCAGCAGCAGAAGAGUACCAAGAGGGUCAAGCAACAGUAGGUCUAAGAAAUCACCAGUGAUGGCCGGGCACAGUGGCUCGUGCCUGGAAUCCCAGCUCUUUGGGAGGCCAAAGUGGGUGAAUCACUUGUAGGCCAGGAGUUUGAGACCAGCCUGAUCAACAUGGCAAAAUCCUAUUACAAAAAUUAGCCUGGAGUGGUGCCAUGUACCUGUAGUCCCUGCUACUUGGGAGUCUGAGGCAGGACAAUUGCUUGAACCUGGAAGGAGAUUGCAGUGAGCUGUGAUGACACCACUGCACUUUCAGUCUGGGCCACGGAGCAAGACUCCGUCUCAAAAAAGAGAAAUAAAAAAAAGAAAGAAAUUACCAGUAAAGUACACUUGGUGGAAUUCAGAGGCAUACUUUGAAGAGCUAAAGCUGUAAUUGUGUUUAUAACAGCCAGAACUUAAGAAAUAAGUAGAAAAAAAAAAUCAGAGAAAUGAAGACAAAUUUAGAAGGCAAAUAAAGGGGAUUAGACAUUUCAGAAAUUAAAGUGAAGGACAUAGAUUACAGAAAUAGGUAAAGGAAACAAGAAAUUUUAAGAAUGAUUAAACAAAUUAGAAAAUAAGCUGGUUGCAGUGGCUCACCCCUGUAAUCUUAGCACUUUGGGAGGCCGAGGCAGGUGGAUCACCUGAGCUCAGGAGUUUGAGACCAGCCUGGCCAACAUGGCAAAACCCCAUCUCUCCUAAAAAUAAAAAAAUUAGCUGGCAUGGUGGCACAUGCCUGUAGUCCCAGCUACUUGGGAGGUUGAGGCAGGAGAAUCACUUGAACCUGGGAGGUGGAGGUUGCAGUGAGCUGAGAUGGCUCCACUGCACUCCAGCCUGGGUGACAGAGUAAGACAUUGUUUCAAAUAAAAUAACAUAAAAUAAAAAAUAGAAAAUAAUCAAUGUAAGUGAACAAAUUAUUGGAGUUCCCAAAGAAGAAAAUCAAAAUAAUAGAAUAAAUACUUGAUGAAAAAAGUCUGUGGAAUUAUAAUAUAAAUUGAAAUGUAUACAUCAAAAGUACCUAUCUCUUCACCCUGUGACAGAGAAAUUGACCCAAAACAGCCAACACUGAGAUAUAUUUCCAACAAAUUUAUUGGACUUUAAAGAUAAAUAAAGAAUUGAAUGGGCGGUGUAGGCAAAAAGUUAUUUUCAAGGGAGACUUAUUGGCCACAGAAUUUUCCACAGCAACAUUUAAUGCCAUGGGAGAGUGGAGAAAAACCUAUAAGAUAUUUCUAGAAACAAAGAAUGAGCAAACUAUUUUUCAGGUAUAAAUAACACAAACACAUAAUUUUGAACAGAAAAAUUCUUGGAAUGUAGUUUCUGAGUCCUUAUUGUGAAAAUUACUAGAAGAUAUACUUCAGCAAACUAAGGUAGAACUGAAAAAUUCUGGCAAAAGGACAAAAAUAAAAGUGAGCAGUAGGGUGACAGAUGAGAAUAUGAAAUGCAUAUGCUCUGACAAUAUAGAAAUAGUAUAAUAACAAAAAAUAUGAGAAGGGUUAGGUGCAGUGGCUCAUGCCUGUAAUCCCAGCACUUUGGGAAGCAUAGGUGGAAAGAUCGCUUGAAGCCAGGAGUUUGAGACCAGCUUGGGCAACCCAGCAAGACCUUGUCUCUACAAAAAAUUUGAAAAAUUAGCAAGCUAUGUUGGUGCACACCUGUAGUCCUAACUACUCUUGAGGCUGAGGUAAGAGGAUCACUGGAGCCCAGGAGUUAGAGGUUGCAGCUAAUAUUGCACCACUGCCCUCUAGCCUGGGUGACAGAGUGAGACCCUGUCUCUAGCCAAACCAAACCAAAACAAACAAACGAAAAACAGGGAGGAGAGAGCAAAAAUAGGCUGUAGGGCAAGUUCUUUGUUUAUUUUAUAGGUAGGAAUCCAAAGGUAUUGUGUUGACAAAUCCAAGAGUAGAUGUAAAGCAAGGUUAAUGGCUGAAAGGUAAACAUGGUAAUGGCACAGCCUAAAAUUGGAUGGGAGAGGAAAAAGACUGGACAAUGGAAUGGCACACAGGCUGAUUUUAUAAAUCUUCUGGGUGGGAAACUAAAGGAUACUGUCUAAAAUAGAGCACCAAAGGAAUCAUAUAAAGGUAAUCCUAAAAGUAAUCACUAGAACAAAAAAGCAAACCUUCUUUAAAUUGGAAGUAUACACUCCUAACCACUGAAAAAAUAGGAAAUGAGUGUGGGCUGCUUACCCAUUCAUUUAUUUCAAGGAAAAGACUCAGAGGUGGCUCACAUAUCUUCUGCUUAUAUGCCAUUGGCUAGAACCUAAUGACAUGGUCAGAGCGAACUGUAAGGAAGGCUGAAAGUAUCGUUAUAUGGUUUGGCUCCGUGUCCCCACCCAAAUCUCAUGUUGAAUUGUAAUCCUUGUGUGUUGGGGGAGGGGCCUGGUGGAAGGUGAUUUGGAUCACGGGGGCAGAUUUUCCCUUUGCUGGUCUCAUGAUAGUCAGUUCUCACAAGAUCUGGUGGUUUAAAAAUGUGGCACUUCAGCAGCCAGCACUGGGACUCACAACUGCCUAACACUCUAAGUUCUCUGGGCAGGGGAAGGGUGGCAUCCAUCUCUAUAGCUCCAGGCCAUGCUUCUCCUCUGCUGGAGCCAGGGAGGCUGGAUGGCUUGGUCCCAAGAUGUGUCCCUCACAGCCCAACACACUGGCUGUGGCCUACUACAGCCAGAGUGCCUCUUCAGGCCUGACCCUGACUCAUCCUUCCUCACUGGGUGGGGCUUCCCUGCAGGAACUCCAAUAACUCCAGCCAGAGGCUCAGGGACAGAACCCAGAUGUCCUUGGGCCUGAGCCCAUAGCAGAAAGGCCGCAGUCUCCAUGAACCAGCAGACUUAGCCUUUCCUCCUGGUAGUUCUGAGGAAUCCGUGCAGCCCAGACAACUGGGUUUCACCCCGCCCCCAAAGCACACCUCCUACACCAAGGGACAGUCAAUGUGCUUCAUUGAAUAAAGCCUCCAAGAAAUAUGGGACUUUGUAAAAAGACCAAACCUAUGACUGAUUGGAGUACCUGAAAGAGAUGAGAAGAAUGGAAACAAGAUGGAAAACAUACUUCUGGAUAUUAUCCAGGAGAACUUCCCCAACCUAGCAAGGCAGGCCAACAUGCAAAUUCAAGAAAUACAGAGAACACCAUCUAGAUACUCCAAGAGAAGAUCAAUCCCAAGACACAUAAUCAUCAGAUUCUCCAAGGUCCAAAUGAAGGAAAGACCAGAGAGAAAGGCCAGGUCACCUACAAAGGGAAGCCCAUCAGACUAACAGCAGACCUCUCAACAGAAACUCUACAAGCCAGAAGAGAUUGGGUGCCAAUAUUCAACAUUCUUAAAAAAAAAUUUUCAAUACAGAAUUUCAUAUCCAGCCAAACUAAGCUCCACAAGUGAAGGGGGAAUAAAAUCCUUUUCAGACAAGCAAAUGCUGAGGGAUUUUGUUACUACUAGGCCUGCCUUGCAAGAGCUCCUGAAAGAAGCACUAAAAUAAAGAAAAAGCCAGUACCAGCCACUGCAAAAACACCCUAAAAAAUAAAGACCAGUGACAUUAUGAAAAAACUGCAUCAACUAGUGUGCAAAAUAACCAGAUAGCAUCUUGAUGACAAGAUCAAAUUCACACAUAACAAUACUAACCUUAAAUGUAAAUGGGCUAAAUGCCCCAAUUAAAAGACAGACUGGCAAACUGGAUAGAGUCAAGACCCAUUGGUGUGCUGUAUUCAGGAGACCCAUCUCACCUGUAAAGACAUGCAUAGGCUCAAAAUAAGGGAAUGGAGGAAAAUUUACCAAGCAAAUGGAAAGCAAAAAAAAAGCAGAGGUUGCAAUCCUAGUCUCUGACAAAACAGACUUUAAACCAACAAAGAUCAAAAAAGACAAAGAAGGGCAUUACAUAAUGGUAAAGGGAAAAAUUCAACAAGAAGAGCUAACUAUUCUAAAUAUAUAUGCACCCAAUACAGGAGCACCCAGAUUCAUAAAACAAGUCCUUAGACUCCCACAUAAUAAUUGUGGGAGAUUUUAACACCCCACUGUCAAUAUUAGACAGAUCAAUGAGACAGAAAAUUAACAAGGAUAUUCAGGACUUGAACUCAGCUGUGGAUCAAGUGGACCUAAUAGACAUCUACAGAACUCUCCACCCCAAAUCAACAGAAUAUAUGUUCUUUUCAGUGUCACAUGGUACUUAUUCUAAAAUUGACCACAUAAUUGGAAGUAAAAUACUCCUCAGCAAAUGCAAAGAACUGAAAUCAUAACAAAUAGUCCCUCAGACCACAGCACAAACAAAUUAGAACUCAGGAUUAAGAAACUCACUCAAAACCACACAAUUACAUGGAAAUUGAACAACCUGCUCCUGAAUGACUCCUGGGUAAAUAAUGAAAUUAAGGCAGAAAUCAAGAAGUUCUUUGAAACCAAUGAGAACAAAAAGACAACGUACCAAAAUCUCUGGGACACAGCUAAAGCAGUAUUAAGAGGGAAAUUUAUAGCACUAAAUGCCCACAUCGGAAAUCUAGAAAGAUCUAAAAUCUAUACCCUAAUAUCACAAUUAAAAGAGCCAGAGAGACAAGAGCAAACUAAUCCAAAAGCUAGCAGAAGACAAGAAAUAACUAAGAUCAGAGCAGAAUUGAAGGAGAUAGAGAUAUGAAAAACUCUCCAAAAAAACCAGGAGCUGGUUAUUUGAAAAAAUUAACAAAAUAGAUAGACCACUAGAUAGACUAAUAAAGAAGAAAAGAGAGAAGAAUCAAAUAGACACAAUAAAAAAAGAUAAAGGGGAUAUCACCACCGACCCCACAGAAAUACAAACUACCAUCAGAGAAUACUAUAAACACCUCUACACAAAUAAACUAGAAAAUCUAGAAGAAAUGGAUAAAUUCCUGGAAACAUACACCCUCCCAAGACUAAACCAGGAAGAAGUCAAAUCCCUGAAUAAACCAAUAACAAGUUCUGAAAUUGAGGCAGUAAUUAACAGCCCACCAACAAAAUAAAGCCCAGGACCAGACUGAUUCACAGCUGAAUUCUACCAGAGGUACAAAGAGUAGCUGGUACCUUUCCUUCUGAAACUAUUCCAAACAAUUGAAAAGGAGUGACUCCUCCCUAACUCAUUUUAUGAAGCCAGCAUCAUCCUGAUACCAAAACCUAGGAGAAACACAAUAAAAAAAGGAAACUUCAGGCCAAUAUCCCUGAUGAACAUUGAUGCAAGAAUUCUCAAUAAAAUACUGGCAAACUGAAUCCAGCAGUACAUUAAAAAACAUAUCCAUCAUGAUCAAGUAGGCUUCAUCCCUGGGAUGCAAGGCUGGUUCAACAUAUGUAGAUCAAUAAAUGUAAUCCAUCACAUAAACAGAACCAAAGACAAAAACCACAUGAUUAUCUCAAUAGAUGCAGAAAAGGUCUUUGAAAAAAUUCAACAUCCCUUCAUGUUAAAAACUCUUGGCCGGGCGCUGUGGCUCACGCCUGUAAUCCCAGGACUUUGGGAGGCCGAGGCGGUUGGAUCAUGAGGUCAGGAGAUUGAGACUGUCCUGGCUAACACAGUGAAACCCCAUCUCUACUAAAAAUGCUAAAAAUUAGCCAGGCAUGGUGGCGGGUGCCUGUAGUCCCAGCUACUUGGGAGGCUGAGGUGGGAGAAUGCCGUGAACCUGGGAGGCGGAGCUUGCAGUGAGCCGAGAUCAUGCCACUGCACUUCAGCCUGGGCAACAGACUGAGACUCCGUCUCAAAAAACAACAACAACAAAAACAACAAAAACCCAAACAAACAAAAAAAACUCUCAAUAAACUAGGUAUUGAUGAGACAUACCUCCAAAUAAUAAGAGCUAUUUAUGACAAACCCACAGCCAAUAUCAUACUGAAUGGGCAAAAGCUGGAAGCAUUCCCUUUGAAAACUGGCCCAAGACAAGGAUGCCCUCUCUCUCCACUCCCGUUCAACAUAGUAUUGGAAGUUCUGGCCAGGGCAAUCAGGCAAGAGAAAGAAAUAAAGACUAUUCAAAUCGGGAGAGGGGAAGUCAGAUUGUCUGUACUUGCAGAUGACAUGAUUUUGUAUUUAGAAAACCCCAUCAUCUGAGCCCCAAAACUCCUUAAAUUGAUAAGGAAUGUCAGAAAAAUCUCAGGAUACAAAAUCAAUGUGCAAAAAUCACAAGCAUUCCUUUACACCAUCAGUAGGCAAGCAGAGAGCCAAAUCAUGAAUGAACUCCCAUUCACACUCACUACAAAGAUAAUAAAAUACCUAGGAAUACAGCUAACAAGGGAUGUGAAGGACCUCUUCAAGGAGAACUACAAACCACUGCUCAAGGAAAUAAAAGAGGACAUGAAUAAAUGAAAAAACAUUCCAACCUUAUGGAUAGGAAGAAUCAAUAUCAUGAAAAUGGCCAUACUGCCCAAAGUAAUUUAUAGAUUCAAUGCCAUUCCCAUCAAACUACCAUUGACAUUCUUCACAGAAUUAGACAGAAUUAGAAAAAACUACUUUAAAUUUCAUUUGGAAUCAAAGAAGACCCCAUACAGUCAAGACAAUCCUAAGCAAAAAGAACAAAGCUGGAGGCAUCAGCCUACUUGAUGUCAAAUUAUACUACAAGGCUACAGUAACCAAAACACCCCCAUGGUACUGGUACCAAAACAGACAUAUAGACCAAUGGAACAGAACAGAGACCUCAGAAAUAACACCGCAUAUCUGCAACCAUCUGAUCUUUGACAAACCUGACAAAGACAAGUAAUGGGGAAGGGAUCUCCUAUUUGAUAAAUGGUGUUGGGAAAACUGGCUAGCCAUAUGCAGAAAACUGAAACUGGACCCCUUGCUUAUGCCUUACACAAAAAUUAACUCAGGAUGGAUUAAAGACUUAAAAUGUAUAACCCAAAGCCAUAAAAUCCCUGGAAGAAAACAUAGGCAAAACACUGAGGACACAGGCAUGGGCAAAGACUUCAUGACAAAAAUGCCAAAAGCAAUUGCAACAAAAGCAACAAUUGACAAAUGGGAUCUAAUUAAACUAGAGAGCUUCUGCACAGCAAAAGAAACUAUCAUCAGAAUGAACAGGCAACCUACAGAAUGUGAGAAAAUUUUUGCAAUCUAUCCAUCUGACAAAGGUCUAAUAUCCAGAAUUUAUGAGGAACUUUAACAAAUUUACAAGAAAAAACAAAACCAUCAAAAAGUGGACAAAGGAUAUGAACAGACACUUCUCAAAAGAAGACAUUUACGUGGCCAAUGAACAUGAAAACAAGCUCAACAUCACUGAACAUUAGAGAAACGCAAAUCAAAACCACAGUGAGUUACCAUCUCACACCAGUCAGAAUGGCAAUUAUUAAAAAGUCAAGAAACAACAGAUGCUGGUGAGGCUGUGAAUAAAUAGGAACACUUUUACACUGUUGAUGGGAAUGUAAAUUAGUUCAACCAUUGUGGAAGACAGUAUGGUGAUUCCUCAAGGAUCUGGAACCAGAAAUACCAUUUGACCUAGCAAUCCCAUUACUGGGUAUAUACCCAAAGGAAUAUAAGUCAUUCUACUAUAAAGACACAUGCACACGUCUAUGUUUAUUGCAGCACUAUUUGUAAUAGCAUAGUCAUGGAUCCAAACCAGAUGCCCAACAAUGAUAGACUGGAUAAAGAAAAUGUGGUACAUCUACACCAUGGACUACUAUGCAGCCAUAAAAAGGAAUGAGAUCAUGUGCUUUGCAGGGACAUGGAUGAAGCUGGAAGCAAUCAUCCUCAGCAAACUGACCCAGGAACAGAAAACCAAACACUGUAUGUUCUCACUCAUAAGUGGGAGUUGAACAAUGAGAACACAUGGACACAGGGAGGGGAACACAUAGGGCCUGUUGUGGGGUGGAAGGUGAGGGGAGUGAACCUAGAGGAUGGGUCAAUCAGUACAGCAAACCACCAUGACACAUGUAUACCUAUGUAACAAACCUGCACAUUCUGCACAUGUACCCCGGAACAUAAAAAAAAAUGUGGCACUUCCCCGUAGCUCACCCUCUCUCCUGGGUUGCCAUGGUAAGAUGUGCUUGCUUCCCCUUCACCUUCCGCUGUAAUUGUAAGUUUCCUGAGGCCUCCCAGCCAUGUGGAACUGUGAGUCAAUUAUACCUCUUUUUUUUAAAAUAAAUUACCCAGUCUCAGGUAGAUCUUUACAACAGUGUGAGAAUGGACUAAUACAGAUAGUCUCAGCUAGGUAGCCACUAGCUAGUUGUAACCACUAGAAGAAAAAUGCAAAUCUUCCUUAGUAUCAGAAGUACACACAUGCACAUAAAAUGAAUAGAAGACAGAAUGCAGAGUGUUGACUUUUAAAAAACCCAAAUCCCUAGAACAUAUAAUAUAAACCAAUGUGACUAAAACAAGAUCAAACGUCUUGGUUCUAUCAAUAAAAGUAAAUGGGCUUAACUCACUUAUUUAAAAAAGAAAUUUUGAGAGACUGAAUUACAAAGUAAAACCCAACAUUUUAUCAUGUAUACAAGACUCAUUUAAAAACAUACAAAACAUUGAAAAUAAAUAUAUAGGCAAAGAUAUAUUCAGUAUACAUCAAUAAAAGAAAUCAGGGACCAUGUAAUUCAGGCCAAAAAGUUUUAAGAAAGUAGAAAUUAUAGGAGAUGCAAUAAGAAAUGGGUAGAAACACACUAUUAAUAGAAGACUUUAUUUUUGUUUCUUUUAGCCCAUGAGAGAUCAGUGUAGAAAACAGAAAAGGAUGGAAGACCCAAAUUAUUUGUUUAACAGGAUCAAUAUGAUUGAUACAUGUUGAACUCCAUAGCCAGAAAAUAGAGUAUACACAUUUUCCCCACCCUCUCUUAAAUAACUGAGUCAAAGAGGAAAUGCAAAUACAAAUUGCAGGAUAUUUAGCAAAUGACAAUAAUAAAAAACAUUGCCUAUGAGAAGCUAUGGAAGACUGUUAAUAUAGUGCCCAAAGGGAGGGGAAAAGUCUUAGCUGGGUGUGGUAGCUCAUGCCUGUCAUCCCAGCUACUUGGGAGGCUAAGAUGGGUGUAUCAUUUGAGACCAGGAGUUCAAGACCAGCCUAGGCAACAUAGUGAUACCCCAUCUCUAAAAUAAAAUAAAUAAUAAAAUAAAAUAAAAUAAAAUAAAAUAUUGGGACCUGGUGCCAUGUGCCUGUAUCCCAGCUACUUGGGAGGCUGAAGCAGGAAGAUCACUUAAGCUGAGGAGUUCAAGGCUGUAGUGACCUAUGAUUACACCACUGCACUCCAGCCUGAGUGACAUACCAGGAUCCCUAUCUCCAAAAACAACCAAACCAAACCAAUAAAUAGCCUUAAAUAAUGAACCAGUGGGAAAAAAAGACACCAGUUGAAUUAAACAUAUGCCUCGGAAAAGUUAGAACAAGCACAAAAAAGUAAAGCAGAUUGUAUGAUUAUAUACCUGGAAAACCCAAGGGAAGCAAUUAAAAAUAUACUAUCAUAAUAGGAAAAUUUAGUAAGUUUCAAAAUUAAGAUAUAGAAAUGAGUAGCUUUCCUAUAUGGGAGUAAAAACCAGUUAAAAGAUAUAAUGCAAGGGAAGACCUCAUUUAUAAUAACAACGAAAGCACACUGCCACCAAAGCUCAGACUAAGUGUAAAGAAAGUCUGCAUCACCCACCCACAUGCAGGAAAUAAAUGUAAAAGUUCCACUGAGGGCACAGAGGACCCUUGAACAAAUCGAUCAUCAUGGCGUGUUCUUGGGGAGGCAGUCUAGCAUCAUAAAGAUGGGAGUUCUCCCUAUGUUUAUUUAUAAAUUUAACACAAUCCCACUAAAAGUACCAAUAGAUUUUUAAAAAGUUGAGUAAAGCUAAUUGGCACACAAUCUUCAUUAUUCAC
rnacentral:lncRNA from 1 species